UCCCUGGUGGUCCAGUGGUUAGGACUCCGAGCUUCUAUUGCAGGGGGCCCGGGUUCGAUCCCUGGUCAGGGAA